AUUGAACGCUGGCGGCAGGCCUAACACAUGCAAGUCGAGCGGUAACACAGAGAGCUUGCUCUCGGGUGACGAGCGGCGGACGGGUGAGUAAUGUCUGGGAAACUGCCUGAUGGGGGGGGGAUAACUACUGGAAACGGUAGCUAAUACCGCAUAAUGUCGCAAGACCAAAGAGGGGGACCUUAGGGCCUCUUGCCAUCGGAUGUGCCCAGGUGGGAUUAGCUAGUAGG
rnacentral:rRNA from 1 species